UCUAUAACCAUAUCAUUCUAUCUAUACCCUCUCUCUGUAUAUAUACACAGUAUAAUCUCAUCCGAGGUUCUGCAGACGAGUCGUGAAUGAGCGAACUCGGCAUCCGAACGAGUCAGGGACCGCCGGAGGGAUCCCGGUCGACGACGACGACGUUCCUGGAUUUGAUCGGAGGCCAGAUGGACGGUCUUGAUCGACCGAUGAGGAGGAAACGUUCUCUGAAGGAACGGCUACGAUUCAAAGGCAUCGGAUGCUGUGGGCCCACCUGGGGUCUCCGAACAACUAACAACACCACUCUCAGCGCCAGAGAUGACGACGACGAUGACGAAGAUGAACCGGGUCAGACCCGAGUCGUAACUGGGUCGGAUUCUUCCGGGUCGGGUAUGAACCUUGAGACGGCGUUAGCGACGGAGAGACACUACCGUGCGAGAGAGACGGAGGAGGGGCAGACGCCGAUGACGCCGUUAAGGGUGUCGUUAAUGAGACUGCUGGAGGAAACGGCGGAGAGAGUUAACGGGAGGGAGACAGAGACGGAGAUAUUAACGGCGUCAAUGGGGACGAGUAAUGAUUCGGUGUGCUGCGUGUGCAUGGGAAGGGAGAAAGGAGCGGCGUUUAUCCCAUGUGGCCACACUUUUUGCAGAGUGUGUUCCAGGGAGCUGUGGUUGAACCGAGGGACGUGUCCGCUAUGCAACCGUCCGAUCAUCGAGAUCCUCGACAUUUAUUGAACGAUCGGACGGUCGAAAUAAUGCGGUGCACGUGAUCAUGAGGGGGUGACGCCCUUGGCAGUCAUGAGGCCUAAGUCGGCGUUUGGCAACGCCAUGACUACCUGAAACGCUGCGUUAGAUAUGCUAUGAGCGUCCCGACGAACGCCAAACGCCACGACCAAUAAGACGAUAAAAAUGACGCUGUCGAAGCUUCUAGGUGUGAGAGGGCCAUUUUCCUUUGGCAUUUCUCCACUCCAAUUCAUUUUUGUUUUUCUUUCUCUUAACCAAUUUCGAAAUACGCAAAUUUUAUAAAUUAA